GUCGAACGAACUCUGGUAUUGAUUGGUGCUUGCAUCAUGAUUUACAUUUGAGUGAGUGGCGAACUGGUGAGUAACACGUGGGAAACCUGCCCAGAAGCGGGGGAUAACACCUGGAAACAGAUGCUAAUACCGCAUAACAACUUGGACCGCAUGGUCCGAGUUUGAAAGAUGGCUUCGGCUAUCACUUUUGGAUGGUCCCGCGGCGUAUUAGCUAGAUGGUGGGGUAACGGCUCACCAUGGCAAUGAUACGUAGCCGACCUGAGAGGGUAAUCGGCCACAUUGGGACUGAGACACGGCCCAAACUCCUACGGGAGGCAGCAGUAGGGAAUCUUCCACAAUGGACGAAAGUCUGAUGGAGCAACGCCGCGUGAGUGAAGAAGGGUUUCGGCUCGUAAAACUCUGUUGUUAAAGAAGAACAUAUCUGAGAGUAACUGUUCAGGUAUUGACGGUAUUUAACCAGAAAGCCACGGCUAACUACGUGCCAGCAGCCGCGGUAAUACGUAGGUGGCAAGCGUUGUCCGGAUUUAUUGGGCGUAAA
rnacentral:rRNA from 1 species